rnacentral:rRNA from 1 species
UACGUAGGGUGCAAGCGUUGUCCGGAAUUAUUGGGCGUAAAGAGCUCGUAGGCGGUCUGUUGCGUCGGCUGUGAAAACCCGGGGCUCAACCCCGGGCCUGCAGCCGAUACGGGCAGACUAGAGUUCGGCAGGGGAGACUGGAAUUCCUGGUGUAGCGGUGAAAUGCGCAGAUAUCAGGAGGAACACCUGCGGCGAAGGCGGGUUGCUGGGCUGAUACUGACGCUGAGGCGCGAAAGCCAGGGGAGCGAACGGG